AAAAAAAAAAAAAAGAGAAAAAGAGAAAGUAUAAAAACUGUGAAACCCUAAACGCACAAGACUAAGCCGUCCUCUUCCUCUUCUCCUUCUCUUCUCACUUUCCCAUUUUCCUUCCCUCACUCACUAGCAGCCACGGUGAGCCUCCCCACGAGCAGCCACUGCACCUCCAGCCACUCCGCUCCCCACGUGCAAAACCGCUAGCAACAACCGAGCUUCACACCGCCAACAGCAGCCACAGGCUGCGUUUGAAUCCACGGCAGCAGCUAGCAGCAGCCGGCUGCUCUUCCUCCGCAACUCUUCGCGCCUUCACAGCCGCUCCAGCUGUCGGUUUAUGUCCUCCCUCCACCGUCAACAGAGCUCCUGCGCCACCACCACAACCUCCACUUACCCCUUCACCCCUUUUUGCUAGUCCUAGCUUUGUGCCCAUUUCGUAAGAGGAAAGUAGAACCUUAGUUGGGAUGAUUUUGUGACUUUUGAUCGUGCAGUGACGCAUACAGGUACGUACACGCAGUAACUAACCUCUAUGUGCAAUUUGCUUUAAGAUAUUAUUGUUUAUUGUGAUAAUAUACAUUGCAUUGAAACUAUGAGAUACUGGUAAGUACACGCAGUAACUGAUUCUUGCAUGCAUCUCCAAUAUAUUUUCCUUGCGUGAUAAUAUUAUACGAGCUAGGUUGAAUAUGAUUUGCUAUUUAAAUACUGUUAAGUUGUGUUACAAGUGAAAAUCAGUUGUAAAGAUGGUAGAGAUUGAGUUCGGAUAUCGCAAGAGUAGAAUGUUGGAUUAUAUGAGAUGGAAUGGGAAUGAGUCCCUUAUUGAUGAGAUAUUAAGUUGGAUGUUACAUUAUAUGAGAUGGAAUGGGAAUGAGUCCCUUAUUGAUGAGAUAUUAAGUUGGAUGUUACUGUGACUCCACUGGAUUGGUACCCCAGUUGGUUUAGUUCCCGGAGGCAUGGAUCAUCUAUAUAUGGUCGCUGUACGGGGGUAUGAUCAUACUUUGCCAUUGGGCGCCGGCAUGGCCGUCACCGUCCUUGGCUGAGGUGUUGCCAUGUGGGUCUUGCAAACCCCAAUAUGGUGGCCUCUAGUCACAAAAGAAGAUACGUGGAAUUAAGGAAGAAAUAGAAAAUGGUGAAGGCAUUGAGAAGUGCACAGAAGUGAGGAAUGGUUGGAGUAGAUUUUUAUACAUUGGAGUGUCUUUCUUCCCUCGUUUGUUGAAUUGAUUGUUGGUUGCAUAUAUAUAACUUGUUGCUAGAUACUGACGUGUACGUGUUUGUGUUUAUGUUGAUUGUUGAUGACUUUCUAUGAUUGUCCUGCUAUGACGCAUUGGCCUUUGGUCUAAUGUCGAGCAGCAGGAGGAUUAUAGACUGGCUUAGCAGGUACUGAAGCUUCUUAUGCAUUGCAUUGCAUUUCGGGAAAGUGAUGAGGGCGAAGCAUAACUUGUGUCAUUACCCCUAUCUUUCGAUUUUGUAUCUCUGUUACCUUUUGUAAAUUUUGAUUGUAUAUGUUUUGUUAUGAGGCCUUGUGCCCUCCCACGUGCAUUUGUAUUUCCGCUGCGUAGUUUAUAAUUCUGUAUGGUUUUGAGGAGUUAAGUCUUUUUAAAACGCAAACGUCGACACUGGAACCACGAUCCAUGCUUGGCAUGUUGAUUUGAGAAGCCGGCGACGAAUUACUCCGCCGUGACAUAGCUUUGAUAGGCCGUUGGUGCCUCUACUUUAUUAGCUUCUUAAUUAACUUUGUUUUUCUACAAAGGCGCACAGUUUUAAGGCAGAUGCUGCCAAAAUUUUCACUCACUCACCUUUUUAAAGUUAAUAUUUAACGUUUAUAUUUUAUAUAAAUUCAAUUCUUUUUCUUUUAUGUAACACCCGAAUUUCCUCUUGUCCUUUACGGUUUUGGUUUCGUUAAGGGGUCGGAAAUUCAGGGGUGUUACAGGUGGUUACCAGAGCCAGUGGUUCCUAUUUUCGACGCUUUGUGUCCUUAAAAUCGUUUAGAAAUUGCCUGAAGUUAGAAGUCAUUCGUGAGAGUUUGGGUAGAUAUGGGAUAGGUGCAUACAUUACAUAUUCAUGCAUAAUGAUUACCAUUGCACGUGCAUAGAUCAAUAUAUAGUUUGUUUAGCUUGUUAUGAGACUUAUUCUUAUGUGUGUUAUUAUUAUAAAUAAAGAAAUUAUGAUGGUGGUUUGAAUGAUGACACGAGUUAACAAAUCAGUAGAUUUGAUUUAUGUAUUAUCAAGAAAUAAUGAAAUUUUUGAGUAUUUGGUUCAACUCAUGAGUUGUAUUAUAAGUAGUCAUUAUGGAGAUAUGAAGUAUAAAUGAUGAAAUUCUAGAGAAGUUGGUUGCAUUGAGAACUUUCUCUUGCUUGUGAUGAUCGUAUGAAAUUUAGCCUUAUGUGUUUGAGUAUUUGUUCAUGUUAAUUGUUUUCAUAAAGCUUACGAGUUUCGAUAUUGAUUCUAUACAUGAACCCACUGUUUAUGUAUCUGCUUGAGCAUUAUGCUUGUCAAAUGCAUUCGUUCAUCAAAACAUAGAAGUGGUGAUCAUAAUUCUCUUGAAUAUGUUUAAUGACUGUGCAAGCAUGAUGAUAAGUAGUUUAAACUAGAAUAAGGAAAAGAGCUAAAGUGUAAUAAGAAUUCGAUAUAUUGUAAAUGAAAGAAAGGGAUCUUGUAUGCGAUAUCAUGUAAAUAAAGUUUUAAUCACCAGUUGAUGAUAAUAAUGCGGUCAUAGCUAAAGUAUAGAUGCGUUAAAACCUACAUAUUAAUAUAAGCAGAAGUUCGAGAGCACGUUAAGAGUUUAUAGUUUGAGAAUUCAAUCCCCAAUUUCGAACCAUGAUCUAUAAGAGUAUUAUUGAUAUAUUCUUUAUAUAGUGCUGAGUUGAAGUUAAGAGAUUGUUUUCAACGCCGCUAAGUGUUUAAAGAUAAUGCUAUAUUAGCUGAACCAAAUUAUCACGUUAGUAUUGUUGUUCAUACUAGAAUUGCCUUAAUAUUUUCAUUUGAAGUUAUAAUUCUUACUAGGUUGAGGCUCUUGACCCGUGUAAUUAGCUAUAGCAACGUUGGUGUUGAGUUUUAGUGUGGCAUAAAUGUGUCUACCAAUAAACGUUUUUAGUCUCAUACAGUGAUUGAGACUGAUGCUUUAAAUUGGUUUAUGUAACAUAUAUUCGUUAGUUCUAAACCCAACAUAUUAUGCUUGUAGUGAGACCUUGAGAAUCAGUUGAGAGUGAAAACGAUAGUCAACCUAUCAGUCUUAGUAAACACUUUAUAUAUAUUUUGAUGAAUUAUAUACUAUAAAGGUCCUCUGUCAUUGAUUUUAAUUUUUGUAAGCAUUCAACUCUCAUCAUAAUGAAUAUAAUAUUUCAUGUUUGUCGAAGGCUAACAACCUUUAAAUCUCUAUUUAAAGGGAUUCCUUGGAUAAAAUAAGGGUGAUUUUUUUUUUUUGAAGACAUAUGAGUUUGAGUAUCAAAGGAAAAAAAUUAUUGUUCGCAAGUCCUUUGAGUUCUGUAUUUCGUUGAGACAUGAUAUAUCAUUCAUACAUAAGUCGAUAACUUCAUAUUAAAGUGGAUAGUUAAAGAAUAAUCAUCGUAAACAAAUUUUCAUGUUAAGGGCCUAAGGAUUGAUUCAAGGGAGCACUAUUGAGUUAAGACAUUUUGUCUUAUUAAAUGCUUAUAUAGAGUGAUGAAUAUUUUAAUCAGAUGAUAAUGUGAAGAAGAACCGUGACGGUUUUAAAGCGUUAACUGGAUAAAAUGAUAUUUGAAAUUAAAAAGGAAUCAGUGAUAUUAUAAUUUGUUUUCCUCAUGGCCUUCGGGGCUAUUACAAGACAUAAGAAUAAAAUAACCUGAUGAUGAGGUGGAAUAAGCGUCCUUGUGCACGUAAGAUAUAGUUAAAUGUUUGAAGUCUUUUAGAAUUUCUCAUUGAUCGCCAAUUUAAUAGCCAGUGUAUUGAAAUGAUAAGACCUAGAUGAGAUUCUAAAUGAAGCUGACUUUACGCAAGUUAUUGUUUAAUAAUGAUUGAUGUGAUAAGUUGGAGAGUUACUAAAGAUAAUGUGGUCCUAAUAAAAGUCAAGAGGUGUUUUAAACCUAAACAUUGAAGAAACGACAACGAAUAUGCGAAUAAUUAUAAUUUGAGAGAUGAAUCGAGAUAAUGGGUUAUGUCUUAAAACGAUUAUUAUACGCAAUCAUUAUUAUGCGAUAAAGAGAGUUAAAUAAUAUUCGCACUUGUGUUAAGAAGAGUUUUAAUUUGAUGGUACUAAAUCAUUGGAUCGUAAUAAACAUUUGAUGAAAAGAGUGUUGAAACUUUGACGUGUUUUAAUACAAACGAUUAUGUUAUAGUUGUUAGUUCUAAGUUUCGCGUUUUACGUUGAAGGGUGAUUGAAUUCCACUUGUUUGCGAAGGAAUAAUUGUAAUGCAAAAUUUCAAAUGUUGCGUUAAUUGGUUGGAUUGUGUCGUGGUACUUUAGUAUAGUGUUAGAAUUAUUAAUGUAGUAGUCAUAUGGUUGCGAUAACGGUCUUAUAGUUAGAGGUAGUAUUGUGAUGAAAAUGUUAUGAUGAAGGUUGGACAUCGUGAAAUUAGCGUUGGUAUCACAACCUUAUCAAAUUGUAUGAUACAUGACUGUUUUGCUAUUCAUAUUGGAAUUUGCGGUGAUGUAGGUGUGCUCAUCGGUUAUUUUUUUUCAUCUUGCAUUUUUUUAUGUAUACAUAAGAUGUCAUCUUUGUUGAGCAUCGCUACUAUUAUUACCCUGUUAGUACCAUUAGCACCGUCGUUAUAUACGUACAUGAUGCAUUACUUUAGUCAUAUAUAAGUUCAUGAUCUUAAUUGAUAUAAAUUCUAUACUUUCAACAUAUGUAUGGUAAGAGAAUAGCUGAAAAAUAUUGGUAACCUUUGGCAUUGCCCUUCAUGAUUCUAAGUCAUCCUCACAUUGUCAUAAUUAGAAUUUGAAAUUUUGAUGCAUAAUGGUUUUAUUAUUGAACAACUAUGAUAUGUGUAUUAGUAUCGUGGCUGUGAAUGUAUGAUUAUUAACUACAGUCUCUUGCUAAUAUGUGUCAUAUAUAAUUGGAUUAUAUACUUGAAACAUGUAUUAUGUUAUGAGUUAUUAAUUCGAAUUGUUAAUCUAUUAAUCAAGUCUUGAUGCAUGAUUUAGAAUGUUAUAAAAUGAUUUGACCAUAUAUGGUUAAUAAAAAGAGCAUUUCAUGUUAAGUUAAAAGGUUAAGAUUAUGUUAUGAUAAGUAAAGUUAGCGGUGAAUCGAUUUGGAAGUUGAUAACCAACCAGUUUAGUAAGAUUCAAGUAUCCUCAGGUCUAGGGUGUCUAAUUAUAAUACGAGUUAAGUGUUGAGCAACUUCGUGCACUUUACUUUUAGGACAUUGUUGUUUUGAUAUUUUACCCCCAUUCAUGGUUCAAAUUAUAAUAGUUAAACCUUUCGUACAUUUAAAGAUUAUCAAAAGUUACGACCUUAGGUGUUGUUUGAAUAAAUACAUUAGGUAACAGGACAUUUGUGUUGUUACGAGCUCAAGUAAUACACUUUUUAAAAGCCACAUUUGCUAGAUCUGUUACUUUUGUUAACAUUGAGGAGACUUGUCUUACUAAGAGAACACAUUGAGACCUAGAUACUAAGGUGUGUAGUACUGAGAUCAAAGAAAUUAAAUAAUUAAAGUUUCAUAGCCUAACCAAACUAUCCUUGCAUAUGUUUCGAGGUUAGUGAGUUACGGGGUCGUAACUAAGUUUUAAGGGGGGUAGAAUGCGGUAAAAUUUUGCGCAUUUACACGCAUUUUCUCCUGCAUUUUCACGUAUUUUUGUCUCUAUGAUAACAACCUAUUACAAACUUACAUGCUUUGCAUUGAUUGUUUGAACCUAUCUAUAUAAUAUCUACAUGUUUUGAUUGAUUGUGUGAAUCACUUGGUGUGAUAUUUGCAUACUUCUGAUUGACCGUGUUGAGUCAAUUGUAUGAUUUUUACAUGCUUUUGAUUGAUUGUGUUAAGUCAAUUGUGAGACAUUUACAUGUUUUGAUUGAGUGUUGAGUUAAUUUAGAUGAUUACGAAUGCUCGGAACGAAAUAUGUAUGAAUAAUUGGAUUGAGUGAGUAUAAUAGUGUCAAUAAGGUCACGAUCUUUGAGUUAAUUCCUUAGGCUUAAAAUCGUUAAGACGCCUCCUUGAAUUAUUAGAAAUAUAAAUUUUCACAAUUAGUACCUUGGUUGCGCUAGUUUCGGGGACGAAACUCCUUUUAAGGGGGGUAGUCUGUAACACCCCGAGAUUUUAAUAAUGAAAUUAUUAUUAUUUUAAUAGCUUUUAAAAAUUUAUCAGUUAUAUUAAAUUAUUUCUGAAUUAGUUUUAAUAAAUUUCUUGCAUAAUUUAAAUGUUAACUUAUAUAUAUUUAUCAAAAAUAUAGUUACAAUUUCUUAAAUAAAGAGGUUCGAAUCAAAAUGAUUAUUUUAUUAAAAGGUGUGAGGUCGCGAAAGUGAGUCUCUUAGUUGGGUCUCGUAAGAAAAUAAAUCGAGAUACAAAAAAAAAAAAAAAAAAAAAGCCUAAUAAUAAUAAUAAUUAAAAAAAAAAAAAAAAAAAAAAAAAAAAGAGAAAAAGAGAAAGUAUAAAAACUGUGAAACCCUAAACGCACAAGACUAAGCCGUCCUCUUCCUCUUCUCCUUCUCUUCUCACUUUCCCAUUUUCCUUCCCUCACUCACUAGCAGCCACGGUGAGCCUCCCCACGAGCAGCCACUGCACCUCCAGCCACUCCGCUCCCCACGUGCAAAACCGCCAGCAACAACCGAGCUUCACACCGCCAACAGCAGCCACAGGCUGCGUUUGAAUCCACGGCAGCAGCUAGCAGCAGCCGGCUGCUCUUCCUCCGCAACUCUUCGCGCCUUCACAGCCGCUCCAGCUGUCGGUUUAUGUCCUCCCUCCACCGUCAACAGAGCUCCUGCGCCACCACCACAACCUCCACUUACCCCUUCACCCCUUUUUGCUAGUCCUAGCUUUGUGCCCAUUUCGUAAGAGGAAAGUAGAACCUUAGUUGGGAUGAUUUUGUGACUUUUGAUCGUGCAGUGACGCAUACAGGUACGUACACGCAGUAACUAACCUCUAUGUGCAAUUUGCUUUAAGAUAUUAUUGUUUAUUGUGAUAAUAUACAUUGCAUUGAAACUAUGAGAUACUGGUAAGUACACGCAGUAACUGAUUCUUGCAUGCAUCUCCAAUAUAUUUUCCUUGCGUGAUAAUAUUAUACGAGCUAGGUUGAAUAUGAUUUGCUAUUUAAAUACUGUUAAGUUGUGUUACAAGUGAAAAUCAGUUGUAAAGAUGGUAGAGAUUGAGUUCGGAUAUCGCAAGAGUAGAAUGUUGGAUUAUAUGAGAUGGAAUGGGAAUGAGUCCCUUAUUGAUGAGAUAUUAAGUUGGAUGUUACAUUAUAUGAGAUGGAAUGGGAAUGAGUCCCUUAUUGAUGAGAUAUUAAGUUGGAUGUUACUGUGACUCCACUGGAUUGGUACCCCAGUUGGUUUAGUUCCCGGAGGCAUGGAUCAUCUAUAUAUGGUCGCUGUACGGGGGUAUGAUCAUACUUUGCCAUUGGGCGCCGGCAUGGCCGUCACCGUCCUUGGCUGAGGUGUUGCCAUGUGGGUCUUGCAAACCCCAAUAUGGUGGCCUCUAGUCACAAAAGAAGAUACGUGGAAUUAAGGAAGAAAUAGAAAAUGGUGAAGGCAUUGAGAAGUGCACAGAAGUGAGGAAUGGUUGGAGUAGAUUUUUAUACAUUGGAGUGUCUUUCUUCCCUCGUUUGUUGAAUUGAUUGUUGGUUGCAUAUAUAUAACUUGUUGCUAGAUACUGACGUGUACGUGUUUGUGUUUAUGUUGAUUGUUGAUGACUUUCUAUGAUUGUCCUGCUAUGACGCAUUGGCCUUUGGUCUAAUGUCGAGCAGCAGGAGGAUUAUAGACUGGCUUAGCAGGUACUGAAGCUUCUUAUGCAUUGCAUUGCAUUUCGGGAAAGUGAUGAGGGC